AUGGCCAUGGAGAGGGGCUGGAAGGCCGGCAGCGCGUUUCGGUUUGAUGUGGUCGAGGAGGAGGACGAGGCGGCGGCGGCGGCGAUACCGCCGCCGCAGACGCCGCUCGAGCCCAUGGAGUACCUGUCGAGGUCCUGGAGCGUGUCCGCGUCGGAGAUAUCCAAGAUCCUCGUCGGUGGCAAGAAGAGCUGCUUCAACAGGCUGCCGCUGCAGGAGAUGGGCAUACCGGAGGCCUCCGCCGUGCUCGCCACCACGGCCAUCGUUCCGAGCUAUCGACACCACGUAAGCGAGCAGUCCACUGCCCACUCCCAUGCUGUCUCUGCUCUCUCCUUUCUGAAUGUUUCCGUCUGUUGUGUGGCCAUUUUCGAGCAGACAGAUGCAAGGCGGAGUUCCAUCAGCGGCAUCGGCCACCAUCAGUCCAUCGGCAAAUGGUUCCAGCACAAGGACGCGAGCCGGUCGAGGCAGAGCAGCAAGGAGAAGCUGCGCGCCGACAGGGCCCACGUGCACGCCAUGGUGUCGGUGGUCCGCGUCGCGGCCGCGGUGGCCGCCGUCGCGGCGGCGUCCACCAGCUCCGACACCCAGGCCUCCAAGAUGGCCGCGGCCAUGGCGCCGGCCACGGAGCUGCUGGCUUCGCACUGCGUCGAGGUGGCUCGGCUUGCCGGGGCGAGCCACGAGCAGGUGGCCUCCGCCGUCCAGUCCGCGGUCGGCGUCAGGAGCGCCGGCGAUCUGACGACGCUCACAGCGGCAGCGGCGACCGCGCUGCGAGGAGCUGCGACGAUGAAGCAGAGGGUGCAGCGGGAGGCGGCGAGGAGCAACGCGAGCGUUCUUCCUUACGAGAAGGGCCAUUCGUGGAGCCCUGAUGUCUGGUGCAAGGAAGGGGAACUGCUGAAACGCACAAGAAAAGGGGAUUUACACAGGACAAAAGUAUGUGUCUACAUCAACAGGAGGUCUCAGGUCAUGCUGAAGCUGAAAAGCAAGCACAUUGGAGGUGCACUGUCCAAGAACAACAAGAGCGUGGUUUACGGCGUAUACAGCAAGCUUCCGACGUGGGUGAUCGAGCCGGGAAAGGCCUUCAUGGAUGAGAAAUGCUGUUUUGGCCUGAGCACGGCGCAGGGUAUCGUAGAAUUCGAGUGUCAGGACGGCACGAGUAAGCAGAACUGGGUCGACGAUGUGCAGAACCUGCUUCGACAAGUUGCGGCAGAUGAUCGUGUGGGAGAUAAGCUGGAGUCGGUAGUGAAAGUGGGUUGA
rnacentral:rRNA from 1 species